ACGCUCCCUCCCUCUUUCCUGCGGAGAGUCAGUGACGCUGGUUCAAAUGGCGGGAACUAUGGAGAUAAACUUCAUGGUGAUAUCCUGGAAGUUGUGCAGAAUAAUUAAGCCCUUCAUGAAAACAUCAACAGUUCUAGAAGACUAUAUGAUGUACAAUUGUGGAUGUUCCUGAAUAUUUAAGACAGAAGUAUGUUUGUGAAUGGUCAAGUGGAAGAAUAAAUAUUAAGAUGGGGAUAAAUGGAUUGGCAAAAAUCUAGACUUUUAAUGCAUUGUUUUGAUUUAAUUAAUCCAUAUUUAACUGAAUAGUUGGGGUAAAAUUGUUGCUUUCAGUCCUGUGAGGUAUCAUGUGGUCUAUCUUGACCUUGUGAACAGUUGCGAGAUUCAUGGGUAGAUGUGGUGGUGUAGUUUAUUUUGAUUAAGACCAAUAUUAUGGGAGAUUGUAAACCAUAACCAUUUGUGGAGUUGCCCCACUAGGCUUUACAACCAUGUUAACGCAUUGUCAAUUAACCUGAAUUAUCUAACUCAGGAUAGAAGUUUAGUGUUCUCAACUCUUAAGAGGGUGAGAACAAAACUGACCUACUCAAAGAUUUUUGUUGGUGGUGAAUUCAAAUCUAUUAGAGAAAAUGAACAUCUAUUGUGGUGUGUGGUUUUAAUAAAAAUAUGCACACUUACAUGCAAACUAGCUGUGAUUCUCAGGGUCUUGGCCAGUGACCCUGAUCGGUGCAAAAUUUGGGCCACUUUUUUAUAUCUUUUAUGCUGGUUAAGAGUAUCUAGUAUUUCCCUUGCCUGAAAAUGCUUGAGGGGAACAUAACUUGUUUUGUUAGGUCACUUUCAAAAUGCUGUAUUAUGUAAUAUUUAUUAGGAACAAUUUAAAUGGUUACUUUAUCCUUAUUUCUAGUGUGACUUAUUAGCAAGUAUCCAGUGGAUAAUGAAUCAGUGAAUGAAUAACUGACAGCACAGUUGGGAUAUAAAACUACUUGCGAUUCUAGUACUACUAAAACAGAGAUCUCUGAAGGCUGACUCAAUAUUAAAGUGAAAUGGUGGAAAAUGUAGGAGCAGAUGCAUUUAGUUAUUCAGUGAUGAGGUGGAAUUUUUGUAUCGUCACCUGACAAGUGUGGAUAGUAUCACUGGAAGAAGUCUGACACCUGAAGAUACUCAGAUACCAAGAUUUUAAUGACAAAAAAUGUUACAGGUUUAUGCUUCUGAAAUAGUUUGUGGAGUUUGGUAGUUAAUAUUUCUGAAACUUCACAUGGCCCAGAACCAGUUGGCCUCUGCCUCUUUUAAAACUGAGCAAUCAUGGUUUGUGGAAAUCUGAAGAUCUUGACAAAAUAGAAGACUCAGCUCCCUCUAGUGAAACCAGAGCUGUCUUAUAAUAGGGAAACUGCAUGUGGGAUCAAAGAAGAGAAAAUUCAGUUUGGCUAAAGUCAGUCUGAAAACAGAAGAUGUUAAAUCUGACAUGACUUCUCUCAGGAGAUUAUGGUGGCUGAAGGGAAAUAGAACAUAAAAUCUAAUUUUUCCCCACUGUUUAUCAGGAGAGGCUCCCCUACUCAGUAAACAAAAUAUUAAGGGCAACAAACAAUAAGCAUCGGGGAAAAACUUCAAGUGGCUAGCCAGUUUCCUGUGAAGGAAAUAAAAGCACAAUAAAGAAAUAAAGCACACUUUGAUAUUACUGGGGAAAAAUGUGUGCCCCAAACAGUAAUAAAAUGGGCAAUGGAAAACCCAGGCACCUUCUGUAGAAAGAUGGUGAGAGCACCAAUUAAUGUAGAAAAUCAUAGUAAUGACACUUCCCCCUCUGAGAGAAAUUUCAUUCAGGAAGUGAAAGAGGAAGAUCAGGUGGUGGUAUUAAUCAGUGAAGCCACUGAGGAAGCAAAAAUCAGACAUUUGUAAGAAAGCAAAAUGCAACACUCAUCGUAGGAGUUGUGGUCACAAGAGAAAACUAGGCUUAAACCACAGCCUGGGUUCUGUUUAUGCUGAUGGGGAAAGAAGUAGGUUUUUAUGCACCGCUGCCCAACCGCAUGAUAAGACCAAUGCAUUGGUGUGGAGCUUUUCUGUUGAGCAGAAAGAUGCUAGCAAUGCUAUGGGUUUUUUUGUGGAAGAGGCCCACUCAGGAACUUCUGUUUUAAGAAACUUUUUGAAAAAUAACCAUGCCAUAAUGUGGGAGAAACAUCUCUGCUGCAUUCAGCAACUUAGCCCUCAUGCAGUAGAGAAAGAGGUGGAGGAGACAGGUCAUAACAUCUGAUAAAUUGCGGUCCACAAAUACUCCAGUCAGUGGCAUACCAUCCAGUAUGCCUUUUAGUGUUAGGAAGGGAAGCAGAUACACAGGCAAACUACCCAUCGACUGACACAUACUUUGAUAUGUCUUUCAGAGUAGGUUAAGAAAUAUCCUGUAAUCUCCAUGCUUAAUACAAAACUGGCAACAAUGCUAGCAGUGGGUCUGCAGCCCUUUUAUUGGUCAGGGCAGAGGGCUUUCAGGCACUAAUGGAAUACCCCAUUCCCAAGUGGCAAAUAUCUAGCAAAACCUACUUUUUGGCUAAGGCAAUACCAUAGUUGAACAGAACUCCGUGUUGCAGUGUCCAAGGCAUUGAGGCUGUCAAAGGUGAGGAAGAUCAAUCAGCCCACUGAAAUGUGGACCAGUGGUCAGACCGUGGACUGUGUGUAUCAGCUCAUUGGGUAUCUCUUCCUCUUCAGUUACCUGUGGUAGCAGGUAGCCAGAUACUUUGACACAGCCUACAGCCCAAUAUUGGGCAACAUGCAACACCGUGUUUGAAGUUUUGAAACCCUACAAUCCAUUGUGUAUUGGAGAAACUGCAGAAUGGCUUUCCUCUUGCUCACUUUUAGGAGGAUUUAUUACCACAAUCUUAUCAGAUGUAUGUGCCAUUAAGGAAGGGCGAUACUUCCAUGUGCCAUACUUUGUACACAAUCUUGAUGCAGUAGUUCAUUCACAUCCUCAUCUUUGUUCAGAAAAGUGCUGACCCGUGCAUGUCAAGUCUGCAGUCACUUCAGCCAUUCCUUUACAGCUGCUUAUACUUUACAAGAACUGCAAAGGCAAAAUAGCCUGCCACUGCACCAACUCAAACACUAUGGCCCAGACAAAUGGGAUUCCACUCUCUGUGCUUGAGCAAUUACUGACUAUGUAGUGCUUCAGAAGUGUGAAGGAAGCAAUCUGUUUCUAACUCUUCCACAGUGGAGUUUUAAGAAAAGCCUAUGUAAUAUGCAGAAACCUUUUGAUGAAGCUUUCAAAUGGCGAGCUAAAAAGAUGCUACUCUUAGCCAAGUCAUUCUGCUCAUUUGCCUCCUGGAGGGAAAAAAUGUGCUGCCUGCAGGAAGUUUAGAGAAGUGGAUGAUAUUGCAGCAAUAGAUUUGGUAAAUAGUAUGUUAGCCAUUCUGAAAGAAGACUUAUGUAAUUUAUAUUAGUGUGUCUGAGGAGUACAUUCUUGCCAGAUAUAGUUGCUAAAUGUAUUUUUGGGAACCCCCAGUACCUCCCGUGUAUCACAUUCCAAAAUGUCACUCUGGGAUUUGCUCCUUGAUCUAGGUUUGAUGAAAGUAGCAGAAAGGGGUAUUAUGCAAGAAGAUCCUGCUAUCUCUGCUUAGUGAAUGGUGGAGGCCUAUCUCCAGGAGGAAUUAAAUGUAAAUCAUGGCAGGUUUUUAAUGCACAACAAGAAAAUUCAGUCAUUUACCUGAUUUUAUAAAAUUCCUGUUUAACAAGGUGCAAGACCUUUUAAAGUUCAGUUGCUUUGUAAAUGAAGCAUGCAUCAGGCAAAACUUUGUUGACAGUCUGUACCAAUAUUAAUUGGAUUUGAAUGUUGAGGUCUAUUGCAAGCUAGUAACUGAGAAGUUAAAGCUACAUUAGUCAGCUUUAUUGUACUUUGGCCUUUAAUACAUGUGAGAAUAAACCAUGUGCCUUUAGCAGUGUUUUUCUUACAUUGCCUGAGAACCAAGUUUGAUUUUAAGGAUAUUAGUAUCUCUUCCCAUGUGAUAGUGGAAUAACUUUUUCUGUCUCAGUAGCUGCUGUCAUUAAAAAUAGUUAAACCCUGUGUGCAA